UACGUAGGGUGCGAGCGUUGUCCGGAAUUAUUGGGCGUAAAGAGCUCGUAGGCGGCUUGUCGCGUCGGAUGUGAAAGCCCGGGGCUUAACUCCGGGUCUGCAUUCGAUACGGGCAGGCUAGAGUUCGGUAGGGGAGAUCGGAAUUCCUGGUGUAGCGGUGAAAUGCGCAGAUAUCAGGAGGAACACCGGUGGCGAAGGCGGAUCUCUGGGCCGAUACUGACGCCGAGGAGCGAAAGCGUGGGGAGCGAACAGG
rnacentral:rRNA from 1 species